UUUUUGCAUGGGAUAAAAAGAUUCAUUUUCAUUUAAUAAUCCAUUUAAUUCAUACAUAUAUCAUUAACACACAAAAAAUUACAAAAUAAUAUAUGACUUUGACCUAUAGUUGACUUUGGUCAACUAUUGACUUUUUGGUCAACCAAUUGACCAAAGUCAACUGACCUAACCCUAGUCUACUUUGGACCUCAUCCCCAUAGUUUCUCUCAUUCUUGCUCAUCCAAGUUCUUCAAAGGUUCUUGAUGCAUUCUACCAUUUCCCCUUGAUGCCUAAACUUUGAACAUGUCAUGCCAAAACCUUCUUAACCAUUGCUAACACCAGCCCUCCAGUAGUGAAGAUGGAUUAGCAUCAUGCACACAUCCAAGUCCCAGAUCAUGAUAUUCAGGCAUACACAUUUAAUAAAAACUAACAUCAACGUUCAUUAACUAAUUAACUCAGUUCCUUUUUAACUAACCAUAAUUCACUUUCAAAAUUCAAUACAAAAACACUAACUCUAAUAACCUCAUAACACCAACAAUGACAUACUAACUCAUUCAUUAGCUUAGCUGGUAAAGACAACCCUCUAGCAUAAUAACCAGAUUGCAACUAACUACCAUGUUAAAGACAUAACAUUGCAAGCAUCUCUAACAGCCUAGCAAAUGGCAGAUUUCGUUUCAAUUCAAUUACACCAUAACAAACAUUGCUUUAAUAUUCACCAUAGCAUAAUUCAUGUUCAAAACUGACCGUCAACAUUGCAUAAAAGCUAACUGCAUCAAUUUCUAACAACAUAAUUCCAUUAACAGCAUAACAUAAAUUCUACCCAAAUCAUAACAAACGGAUUCCCAAAAAACACUUCAGCUAAAUCUAACUCUAACUCUUUAACAUUGCUAACAAUUUACUAACAUCAACUUAACUUGUUGCUAACAAGAGUUCAAAACAAUCAAUUGUUGCAGUGUGAAUAAAAUGAGGCAAAAGGAAAACAACGAACAAGCAGGUUUCGGUUUAACUCAAUAACCUGUUAAUCAAGCCAAACCAAUUAACAUUUCUAGCUUCACUAACAAAUCCAAUCUAACUAAGCAACUCAGCAGACCAUCACCCUGCAACCUGCAUCAAUAAGUCAUCCUGCAGUGUGUCAAAACAACUCAAAAACUUACAACUCAAAAUCAUACCAGUUCAGCAGGUCAACAUCAAAUCCAAUAUCACAUUUCCAUUUAACUUCAAAGAAAAGCAACCUGCAAUAUUCAGUCAAUACCCAAUUCACUAACUAACAUCAAAUGAAUCCCUAAUCUAACUAACAGAAAACCAAAUAACUAACAUUUUCAGUUAACACAUAAAUAACUGUAACAGAUCAAUCCUAACUAACUAUUUUGCAUGACUCACAGAGUUAACAAACUAUAACUGAUUUGCUCAUCAGAAAACUAAUAGAGUCAAGCUCUAUUAAAAGCUGAAACUCUAUAAAUUCACUUGACCACCACCAAUUUCAGGGACCCCCAAUCAUUCCCCACAAUUCACAAGACUCAAUCUUCAUCUUCCUCACUGAAAUCUUCUCCCUCACCCCAAAGCUUUCUUUCUCCAUUGUUUCUCAGAGCUUCACAUUGAAGCUCUGAAACAACAAGACCUGAACCUCUCAAUUUCUGAAUCUCUAUCCCACAAUUCAAUCUCUAUUCUCCUCAUACAAUCAACGAUUACGCAAUUUCAAGAACAACACACAACAUCAACAAUCACAACAAAGAGUAUAAAACGAAGAAGAAGAAGAAGAAGAAGAAGAAGAGAUCACAGUGAUAUAGAAGUGAAGAUUGGAGAAUUUACCUGGUAGAGCCUCUGGUAUUUUCUGUAUUUGUUUGCUUCGAACUCGAGACUCAUCAAACCUGCGGUGUCCGAGGUUAAUUACUCAUCAAACCUUUCCACAUCCCCUUUCUGGAACAAUUAACAACCUUGGGCUUCCUCUUGAGCCCAUUAAUAGUUCAGCUGCUAUCCACACCUUGCUAGAUGAUACACCCCAAGGCCCAUGUUUUUUUCCUUUUAUAUUUCUCUUUGUUAUUUUUCUUGGUAUUUUUGGUAGUUUUUUUUAUUAUUAAUUAUUUCUUCUCUUUACUUUUUUACCAUGAAAGUUAGAAUGAAAUGCAUGUGAUUAUUGGUUAAUAUUCACUUAGAAAUUGAUGUGAUUAGGGUGAUAAAUGGUUUCUUAAUGAUUUUGAAUCGUUUUGAUUAGAUUGAAUAAAAAUACAUUUGCAUGAUAAUGCAAUUUGGUCCAUAAUAUGAUUUGGCCACUUUGGAUAGAUAUCCAUGAUUACAUGCUUUCUUAGAUAAUUUUAGCCACGUUUGGUAUAUGUUCAUGAAUUUUUUUUUUGCCUUAGGAUUUUAGAUCCCUAAUCCUAGUUCAUUGUAUAUAAUUUUCAAUUAAAUUCAUUCCUUUUGAUUAAGUUGAUCGAAAGAUAUUUUUGAUCAACUAAAUCCUUUGAUUGUGUAUGAUUCCCAAUCUUAUUCAAGUGGUCAAAAAACCCUUAAUCACUUGAUAAAGCAAGUCCCCUGUAUUCAAGAUGCACUCGACCUCGGGAGCCGAAGAUAUCAGGAUUAAGAUUCAA
rnacentral:lncRNA from 1 species